rnacentral:lncRNA from 1 species
GCUACAACUUACAAUAUGUUUAGUUUUAUUCAAUUGUGAGCAAGAAUUGAAUUGCUUUACAUAUACGAUAAUAAACCAAUAAAAUUGAAGAGUUGGAAUUCUUCACGCUCGUAUGAUCUUCUAUAGAUAUGAUUUGUGAUUGGAUAGAUUAGACAUAGGAAGAAUAUGAGCAUGCAUGCACACAAAGAGGGAGGAGGAAGAGAGAG